UGCAUUUGUCGCAUUCGAGAAUUUGCUUCAUAGCCCUAAGCACGAAGCUUACGUGAUUUCCUUUGUUUACGUCCGUGAAACGUACGCUUUUAUCUUCUUCGGUUUCGCCUCCAACUUUCGCGGGUGACGGUAGAAUUGUUGUCCCAUCAGCUGUGUGUGGUAGUAAUAAAAUCAUUCCAAGAGAAGUUCUAGUUAGCUUCCCGUUGAUUAUUUCGCGUCGAAAGCACGUUUUGUGGUGCUUUUUGUGUUCAUUUUGAACGUGUGUGAUUAGCGUGCGAUUUUCAUCAUGAUCGGUUCCAAAGGAUCUUGUGUGGCGAUUUUAGCCGUAUGUUUCUUCAGCACCGUUUACGGGAUGGAGUGUCCCGAAUUCUUCAAAGCGGACGACCUCGCGGACAAAGUGUCUGACAUCAUCAACCACCAAUGCCCGGUCCCCAUUUUCGGAGAUGACGCCAAAGCCUUCUGCUGCUACGGCACCAACGGAAGGCCCUACUGUUGUGACUUCCCCCACUUCGCCCUUUUCGUGGCUAUCCUCCUGAUCGGUCUCCUGAUCCUGUCAUCGAUCGUCAGCUGCAUCUGCUGUCUCUGCUGUCCGUGUUGUUUUUGUUACAAACGAAGGCAAGGAGGUGGAAUUGUGAUCCGUUACCCUGCAGCCGAAACCACCGUCAUUUAUAAACAAAUGGCGUAAUCUUCAAUUGCAUUGCUGAAUUAACUCUUCACUACGGGCAUGGCUAUCAAAAUUAUUUAAGGACAACUGACAACCACUUCCUCUAAAGUUUUGUUUUGUUUUGUUUAAAUUCAACCGUCGCAGCUUUCCUUUCAAUGGCACUCAAUUUUUCUAACUCGUAAUUUUUUUUUUUAUUUUUUCAUGUUUGUUGAUACUACUUAGCUCUUGGUCACGAACCAUGCAUUCUGUGAAACCUUUUUUACAUUUGUUCUCGCUUAAGUACUAUUUUUUAAGAGACCACCUUUUCUAGUUUUAUGUUAUAAGUAAGUGCGUGGGUAAGAAUUUACAUAAGUAGGAGGUACGUUUAAGUUUGCUGCUCUCAGAAAGUCUCUUUUUUACAAAACACUUCUUCAACUUGCAUCAAUGUCUAACUUUUCAAUCAAAUAAAUUCCAACUAAGGAUGCAUUUUCAGUUCAACUUUUGUAUUUAAACAUCUUGGAGGCUGAUAGUGAGCUGAUCAGAGAAUGGUCUCCUUACUUAGAUUGAAGAGACAGAAGAGUAAAUCUUAAAGUGGUAUCAAUUUUCCCUCCAUUUAAUCUAAGAAAAUAAACAUUUUACUGUAGAGGAGUUACUCUUAGCUCCUUCAAUUCUAUAACAUGUGUCAUUUGAUAAAACCUCCUACGAAAAAUAAUUGCCCUUCGACUCCUAAGCUCAGAUUUCCUAAGACUUCAUUACUUUUUUCUCACCAAGUUUGCUAUGGAGCUUUUGUGUAAACUUUUUUUUUCAUUUGAUGUUUGCAUAAAUGUAUGUGCGAUAUUGUAUGUCUUUCUCAGCUUAUUGUUUAUUUUUUAAAAACAAGGAAAAGCAAAGGACGCCAGUUUUUACUUACAACUUCUAUUUUCUAAUGAUGAAGUCCUUUUAUUAUUUCACCAAAUUUUUGAAGUAGAAAUUUUUGUUCAGGAACAGCAUUUUAUCUAAAAAUUUAAUUAAAUAUAAAUGGAUGUAUGAUCAUAGUGUAUAUGUCAUGCUUGAAAGAUGCAUUUAAAUUUGAGCUUUGCUCAAUUUAGUAGACUAAAAGAGCAAAAUGUUUUUACCGUACCUUAGCCUUUUUAUCAAAGUUGUUAAUUUUAUUUUUACAAUAGUCUGAUGCAAAUGUGUGAAUAUUAAUGUGUAACCUAUUGAAAAUCAUUUAACUCUAACUUCAUCACUUAUUCUCAGGUUUUUCCAAAUUUCCGUACCUCAUUGUUUUUUCUGAAACUUUCUUCGUCUUUUUUUUUCCAUGAAUUCUUUUAGAAGUUGUCUAUUUUCAAACUAGAGAGGAUCACCACCCCUAAGAUUCAGAGAUUCCUUUCAAUCACUGGUAAUUUUAUGAGUUCCAGGUGGACUAAAUAAGCUUUUGCCGAAGCAGUGCGCGGCACAAAUUCCCCCUUACUUAUUCUGUGCAAGUAGCUGUUUUGGGUUAUUUUGUAAUAUAUUUUGUCUUUUCAAUGCACAAACCGCCUAAGGAAGUAUUUGAAUCCAGGUCAAACUUAGUAAAAGCAAAGUUUCUCAUACUGACAUUUCAGUUGUAUUCAGCUUGUACACUUCUUUCUUACUGCAAAGGUACAGUUUCUUAUUUUUCAAUUUUUGAAUCUCUUCCUUUUUAUGUUGAACUUUUCUGGCACAGUAAUUUUACAAUUUAAUUUGCUGUUUUUUGUUAGAUCUAGCAUUUUUGUUGGAAUGGCACAAUUUUUAUUGCCACUUAAAUCAUGAUGAAGAGGACUUCAAAAACGUAACUUAAAGGCUGCCAUUU